GACGAACGCUGGCGGCGCGCUUAACACAUGCAAGUCGAGCGAAGCGGCGGACGGGUGAGUAACACGUGAGUAACCUGCCUUAGACAUUGGGAUAGCAUCGGGAAACCGGGAUUAAUACCAAAUGGUCUAAGAUGGACUCUCGUCCCAUUAGCGAGUUGGGAGGUCACGGCCCACCAAGGCGACGAUGGGUAGCCGGCCUAAGAGGGUGAACGGCCACGUUGUAAGGGAGAGACGGUCCAGACACGACGGGAGGCGGCAGUGGGGAAUAUUGCACAAUGGAGGGAACUCUGAUGCAGGGACGCCGCGUGGGGGAUGAAGGCUUUCGGGUUGUAAACCUCUUUCGCGAUCGAACGGGUAGGUGGAGAAGAAGCGCCGGCUAACUACGUGCCAGCCGCCGCGGUAAUUC
rnacentral:rRNA from 1 species